rnacentral:misc_RNA from 1 species
AGCAGCCGCGGUAAUUCCAGCUCCAAUAGCGUAUAUUAAAGUUGUUGCAGUUAAAAAGCUCGUAGUUGAAUUUCGGGGUUAGUAGGUUGGUCAUGCCUCUGGUAUGUACUGGUCUCACUGAUUCCUCCUUCCUGAUGAGCCGUAAUGCCAUUAAUUUGGUGUUGCGAGGAAUUUGGACUGUUACUUUGAAAAAAAUUUAGAGUGUUUAAAGCAAGCUAACGCUUGAAUACAUUAGCAUGGAAUAAUGAAAUAGGACGUUCGAUCCUAUUUUGUUGGUUUCUAGGAUUGACGUAAUGAUUAAUAGGGAUAGUUGGGGGCAUUAGUAUUCAAUUGUCAGAGGUGAAAUUCUUGGAUUUAUUGAAGACUAACUACUGCGAAAGCAUUUGCCAAGGAUGUUUUCAUUAAUCAAGAACGAAAGUUAGGGGAUCGAAGACGAUCAGAUACCGUCGUAGUCUUAACCAUAAACUAUGCCGACUAGGGAUCGGAUGAUGUUAAUUUUUUUAAUGACUCAUUCGGCGCC